rnacentral:rRNA from 1 species
ACGCCUAACACAUGCAAGUCGAACGCAGUAGCAAUACUGAGUGGCAAACGGGUGAGUAUAAUGUGGGAAUCUGCCUUUUGGUUUGGAAUAACACGGGGAAACUUGUGCUAAUACCGAAUAAGCCCUUACGGGGAAAGUUUUAAUGCCGAAAGAUGAGCCCGCACUUGAUUAGCUAGUUGGUAAGGUAAAAGCUUACCAAGGCAACGAUCAAUAGCUGUUCUUAGAGGAAGACCAGCCACAUUGGGACUGAGACACGGCCCAGACUCCUACGGGAGGCAGCAGUGGGGAAUCUUGCACAAUGGGGGAAACCCUGAUGCAGCGAUGCCGCGUGAGUGAAGAAGGCCCUUGGGUUGUAAAACUCUUUCGUCGGGGAAGAAAAUGACUGUACCCGAAUAAGAAGGUCCGGCUAACUUCGUGCCAGCAGCCGCG